CUUCACGGACCCCAGCCACAGCGGACGGUCCUCGGAACGCUCCCGGCCGUACGUCGCCAGCAGCGCCUGCGCCUC
rnacentral:antisense_RNA from 1 species